GAUUAUGCAAGAUUAACUUUGCCAUCAGGUGAACAUCUGGAAUGGCGCUGGACUCUUGGACAAUACCUUAUAUACCUGGGAGAUGGAGUCAAGCAUAAAAGCCCAAUAAUGGGGGAAGAGUUUGGGUUUACUUGGGUUUUUGUUUCUCUUCCCAUCUGUCUCUUCUAGGCUUCCCUAUUUUCUGUUUUGAUUAUGCAAAAUCGGCCAAUAUUUCUCAUUAAAUUGUACGUGUUCUUAAUU